CCACCGUAAGGUGAGAGGAAGUGGGGAUGACGUCAAAUCAGCACGGCCCUUAUGUCCAGGGCUACACACGUGUUACAAUGGCCAGUACAAAGGGCAGCUACCGGGUGACCGGAUGCUAAUCUCUAAAGCUGGUCUCAGUUCGGAUCGAAGUCUGCAACCCGACUUCGUGAAGCUGGAUUCGCUAGUAAUCGCGCAUCAGCCAUGGCCGCGGUCGAAUACGUUCCCGGGCCUU
rnacentral:rRNA from 1 species